rnacentral:lncRNA from 1 species
AAUCCACGAUAAUCAAACCACAACAUUCGGCUUGUGCUAUACAUGGAUUUGAUGCUGAUCCAACGAGCACAUCCGUUAUACCACUAGAAUCAUGAGUGUCCGGUCUGAAUGAGUUAUGUUAUUGUGUGUAGUAGCUCAAUCGUCAAUUCCAAUGCUGUGACCUGAUUUUUUACUGAUUUGUUGCAGUGGCUUAUUAUCUCGUUCUCGUCUGAUGCAUUCUCUUCAUACUAAAAUUUUCACAACCAAAUACCCUCCCAUUUCAAAAUCCAUAUCACACUCGCCGACGAGGACCACCAUUGUUCAAGCUAACCUCACCGCUACACAUAGUUCAUAACAAACGCUGAGAAAAAAAAAUGCUAUCGCAAAAUGACUGGGUACAUUUCAAGCACUGAUACAUAUGCCAAAAGGUACGAAUAGUGUUGACAGCCCACUCACUUUUUAAUAUAAUAAUGGAACUGCACCAAAGCUAGCUUAAAAACACUCUUCCUCUCUAAAAGC